AAGAGAUUAAGUUACAACGUUUCUCGAUCUCCACCAAGACUGCACUGGUUCCCAGUGAGGAAAGCAGAGUAGUAACUGAAAUAUUUAAUGAAUAGUCCAGACACAAGGAAAUCUUAGUGAUGAUUGUGCUAGUGUCAUUUUCUUGUCCCAAAUGACCACUUAGUUUUUCUAUAAAUUGGGCUUUAUAAAGCUGAAAGCAGGAGAAAGUAUCUUUGUAUCAGUCAUGCCAUAAUAAAUUCAUUGUCUUGGUUUAUGCAAUUUAAAAAAUGCAGGGAAAAUAUAUUAAUGGAAAGAAAAACCAUAAGCACUUUGAAAUGAGUCUUACCCUAAGGAAAGAAACUUCGUCCUCUGUACGGGGACUUUAAUAACAAAUGAAGCAACAUGGCAGAGAUUGAAA
rnacentral:misc_RNA from 1 species